AACAUGUGCGCAAGUCAUUGGGUUCUACGAAACCUAAAGGCGAAAAUGAAAGUGAAAGCUAUCUCUGGUAGCCUAGGAGUGAUCCAAGCAAUUGGCGCAACUCCGUCCGGUCAAAAUUGCUUAGCAAUAUGGCUGCGAAAGAGCGUACAUGUUGGGACCCGAAAGAUGGUGAACUAUGCCUGAGCAGGAUGAAGCCAGAGGAAACUCUGGUGGAGGUCCGUAGCGGUUCUGACGUGCAAAUCGAUCGUCAAACUUGGGUAUAGGGGCGAAAGACUAAUCGAACCAUCUAGUUGCUGGUUCCCUCCGAAGUUUUCCCCUCAGGAUAGCUGGCACUCAUUAGCAGUUUUAUCCGGUAAAGCGAAUGAUUAGAGGACUUGGGGACAAACGACCUCAACCUAUUCUCAAAC
rnacentral:rRNA from 1 species